AAGUCGUAACAAGGUAACCGUAGGUGAACCUGCGGUUGGAUCAUUAUGGGAGCGCCAUACAAUUUACGAAUUGUGUGCUUCGACCCUGUGCAUUUUUAGUACUUGAUACGUGAUUGAGAGUGCUCGUACGUGCUCACGACAAUACAAUAAACUGAGAAGCAAAUCAAAACAACUUUUGACAACGGAUCUCUUGGCUCUC
rnacentral:misc_RNA from 1 species